AACCUGGAAUUCAAAACCGAUUAUUCAGUGAAGGCAUCAGAAGUAUAAAUAGAAAUAAGAAAAACGUACAUUGAACAAUAUUGCAGAAAUAAGAAACAAUCAGUAGACUUAUUGCCGCAGUAAAMAACGUGCAGAAUUCAAAUGCCCAAUACAUUCAACCCYUCUGAAAUUGUCMUAGUUAAAUAYAGCUAUUUUAUUUUUACCUGCCGACUUUUUACUGAUCAAAUGAAGACCAACAGAGCUGCUACCUGCACUUUCCCCAAAAAUUGUUAUCUUUUCUGGAUCUCCCCCAAAGUGCUGGAUAUUUUCGUGUGUCCAUUUUAACGCGAGAAGUUGGUCUUUCAUCCCAUU